rnacentral:tRNA from 5 species
GUCCCCAUCGUCUAGAGGCCUAGGACACCGCCCUUUCACGGCGGUAACACGAGUUCGAAUCUCGUUGGGGACGCCA